rnacentral:rRNA from 1 species
CCUACGGGUGGCUGCAGUGGGGAAUAUUGGGCAAUGGGCGCAAGCCUGACCCAGCAACGCCGCGUGAAGGAAGAAGGCUUUCGGGUUGUAAACUUCUUUUGUCAGGGAAGAGUAGAAGACGGUACCUGACGAAUAAGCCACGGCUAACUACGUGCCAGCAGCCGCGGUAAUACGUAGGUGGCAAGCGUUGUCCGGAUGUACUGGGUGGAAAGGGCGUGUAGCCGGGUUGACAAGUCAGAUGUGAAAUCCUGCGGCUUAACCGCAGAACUGCAUUUGAAACUGUUGAUCUUGAGUACUGGAGAGGCAGAUGGAAUUCCUAGUGUAGCGGUGAAAUGCGUAGAUAUUAGGAGGAAAACCAGGGGAGAAGGCGGUCUGCUGGACAGCAACUGACGGUGAGGCGCGAAAGCGUGGGGAGCAAACAGGAUUAGAUACCCGAGUAGUC